CAGAGGUUGUGUUGAGCUUCGGUGAGCUUGUUGAUGACUAGUUUUGUCUGUGGAGUAUUCAUCGUUGUUGUGAUGGUGAAGCUUCAUCGGAGUAGUGGCCUUGUGAGAUUGGUCCUUCGCAGAGGCGGAUCCAGGAUCCAGACUCUCUGGGUGCCAAUUAAACUUAUCGACAGGGGAGUCACCUUCGAUGAAGAAGGAUGGUUAGAUGCAC
rnacentral:lncRNA from 1 species